UAUUCUCAAUUCUCUCAGCUUUGCUGGGAUGAUAUUGGACUUGGAGGUUAUUGCCGAUGUUCUCGUAAAAUCGGCUCCUCUCAAAUGCAUCAGUGUGAAUAUUCACUUCAUACUCAGUGUGAUAAUUAUCUACGCUGUGUGUGAGUGAUGAGACUUCAUGCUUCGAACUGUCGCAAGACAAUCUCUUUGACUU
rnacentral:misc_RNA from 1 species